UGGGGAAUAUUGCACAAUGGGGGGAACCCUGAUGCAGCGACGCCGCGUGAGUGAAGAAGUAUUUCGGUACGUAAAGCUCUAUCAGCAGGGAAGAAAAGGAACUAAAGUUCCUAUGACGGUACCUGACUAAGAAGCCCCGGCUAACUACGUGCCAGCAGCCGCGGUAAUACGUAGGGGGCAAGCGUUAUCCGGAUUUACUGGGUGUAAAGGGAGCGUAGACGGCAGCGCAAGUCUGAAGUGAAAUGCCGGGGCUCAACCCCGGAACUGCUUUGGAAACUGUGCAGCUGGAGUGCAGGAGAGGUAAGCGGAAUUCCUAGUGUAGCGGUGAAAUGCGUAGAUAUUAGGAGGAACACCAGUGGCGAAGGCGGCUUACUGGACUGUAACUGACGUUGAGGCUCGAAAGCGUGGGGAGCAAACAGG
rnacentral:rRNA from 1 species